rnacentral:rRNA from 1 species
AACGAACGCUGGCGGCGCGUUUUAAGCAUGCAAGUCGAGCGGUAAGGUCCUUCGGGACCCUAGAGCGGCGGACGGGUGAGUAACACGUGGAUAAUCUGCCUUCCAGUUUGGGAUAGCACAUGGAAACAUGUGAUAAUACCGAAUGAGAUACGACAUACAGAGGUAAGUUGUAGGAAAGCUCCUGCGGGAGCGCUGGAAGAUGAGUCCGCGGCCCAUUAGCUAGUUGGCGGGGUAAAGGCCCACCAAGGCGACGAUGGGUAGCCGGCCUGAGAGGGUGGACGGCCACAUUGGGACUGAGACACGGCCCAGACUCCUACGGGAGGCAGCAGCUAAGAAUCUUCCACAAUGGACGAAAGUCUGAUGGAGCGACGCCGCGUGAACGAUGAAGGCCGUAAGGUUGUAAAGUUCUUUUUGGAAGGAAGAAUAAGCUUGGCAGGGAAUGGCCGAGUGAUGACGUGAAUUCCAGAAUAAGCCCCGGCUAACUACGUGCCAGCAGCCGCGGUAACACGUUAGGGGGCGAGCGUUUGUUUCGGAAUUAUUGGGGCGUAAAGGGCACGCAGGCGGCUUGGCAAGUCUGAUGUUAAAAAUUCAGGGCUCAACCCCUGUCUGGCGUUGGGAA